GACAGAGGUGGCAAGCGUUGUUCGGAUUCAUUGGGUGUGAAGGGUCCGUAGGUGGUUAUGAAAGUCCGGCGUGAAAUCCCAUGGCUCAACCAUGGAACUGCGUUGGGAACUUCAUGACUUGAGUAUCGGAGAGGUGAGGGGAAUUCUCGGUGUAAGGGUGACAUCUGUAGAUAUCGAGAGGAACACCAGUGGCGAAGGCGCCUCACUGGCCGAUUACUGACACUGAGGGACGAAAGCUAGGGGAGCAAACAGG
rnacentral:rRNA from 1 species